UUGAUUUCUCACAGAACUGCAAGAGUCCGGGAUCGUUUCCCAGCCUGCCCAAAGUUGCCAUGGUUCUCACCCUCUGGGAGGUUGGCACACCCAGUGACACCUUGUGUCCCUUGAAACUAAUCUGUGUCACCUUUUAGGCUUUUGAGACCACUUGAACUCUGACUUUGUGGCAUUUAUUACCAAAUCUACUAAAAUGGGUCAACUGUCAGAUUUUAACUCCUUUUCCACACAUGUUGGUUAGGUAAUCUGUUGAUUAGACAUGGUUUUCUCCAAAAGGGGAUUAUCUCUUCCUGAUUGCCUCCAAGAGAAGGAUGAAACGAUUGGGCGCUCUAAGGAUCUAUUUCCCAAAUUUGAGAUUCCACACUGAUCAUUCCUGGGCAAAAUGUGUCUUUCUGUUCCAUAACCACAAUCUUAGGCCAGCCUGAGUGCCAUCCCAGCCCAAUGGGGGUUAUGGAACUCCAACUUAGUUCUGUUUAAGUUUUAUGUAAAUAUCCUUGUCUCUGUUUCACCUGGCUCUGUUAGAUAAAAUGUCUAGGAGAAAGUAGGAGGUGACAAGAAUACAGGUGAAAUCAUAGGUACUGGAAUGGGGCACACUGAUUCUGUGGAAGCAGAGGGAGAACAACAACCUAAAACCCAGGGAAUGAACAACUUAGACCUCAGGAGCUGUGGGGAAUGGAGGGGCAUUAAUAACUUUUUGUCUUUCUGAAUUACCCCUGGUGCAACCCAGAAAAGAGUCUGGGAAUCUUGUUGGGCCAGGACAAAAGUAGUUUUAGUUAGACCAGAAGGUAAGGCACAAGCUGUGAAUUCAUCUCCUCCUUUGGCUCCCCACAUUAACCUUAAGAAUCCUUUGAGACUGUUCUGUCUCUCUGUGAUGUAGGUGUGGAAUUCUAGGGGGCAGCGUGCACUCUCAGUGCCCAGCUGUCUGAGACCACAGUUCCCUCAGAUGAUGAAUGAUAUGGUUUGGCUGUAUCCCCACCCAAAUCUCAUCUUGAAUUGUAGCUCCCAUAAUUCCCGUGUGAUAUGAGAGGGACCUGGAGGGAGGUAAUCGAAUCACGGGUGUGCAUCUUUCCCAAGCUGUUCUCGUGGUAGUGAAUAUAUGUCACAAGAUCUGAUGAUUUUAUAGAGGGCAGUUCCCCUGCACAUGCUCUCUUGCCUGCCACCGUGUAAGACAUGACUUCGCUCAUCCUUGCCUUCCUCCAUGAUUGUGAACCCCACUGCCCUGACCUACAGCCAUGUGGAAUUGCAAGGUAAGAAGAACUACAGAGGAAGAACCUAAUGCAGACGUUUCCCAGGAGACUUUAACUGAAGUAUCAGCAAACUGAAAGGUAACGAGAGAAUCUUGUGCCUCUGAGGGUGUCUUUCCCAUGGAUCCCUGCUCAGUUGCCUUUCACGGGCCCCCUGAUUUGCGUGAACUCCUGACCUCAGAUGAUCCGCCUGCCUUGGCCCUC
rnacentral:lncRNA from 1 species